rnacentral:rRNA from 1 species
UUUUAUUACUGGAUAACAUUUUGAACCGCAUGGUUCGAAAUUGAAAGGCGGCUUCGGCUGUCACUUAUGGAUGGACCCGCGUCGCAUUAGCUAGUUGGUGAGGUAACGGCUCACCAAGGCAACGAUGCGUAGCCGACCUGAGAGGGUGAUCGGCCACACUGGGACUGAGACACGGCCCAGACUCCUACGGGAGGCAGCAGUAGGGAAUCUUCCGCAAUGGACGAAAGUCUGACGGAGCAACGCCGCGUGAGUGAUGAAGGCUUUCGGGUCGUAAAACUCUGUUGUUAGGGAAGAACAAGUGCUAGUUGAAUAAACUGGCACCUUGACGGUACCUAACCAGAAAGCCACGGCUAACUACGUGCCAGCAGCCGCGGUAAUACGUAGGUGGCAAGCGUUAUCCGGAAUUAUUGGGCGUAAAGCGCGGGCAGGUGGUUUCUUAAGUCUGAUGUGAAAGCCCACGGCUCAACCGUGGAGGGGUCAUUGGAAACUGGGAGACUUGACUGCAGAAGAGGAAAGUGGAACUCUAUGUGUAGCGGGUGAAUAUGCGUAGAGAUAUGGGAGGAACACCAGUGGCGAAAGCGUGUUUCUUGUCUGUGACCUGACACUCGAGGGGCUAAGCGUCGGGAAGUGAACCUGCAUUACAUACCCUGGGCGAGUCCACCACACCCAGCGAUGAAUGGCUAGCGAUCGAGAGGGAAUCGUCCACUUCCCUUGUAGAGCUAACCACAUUGAGAAAUCCGCCCUGCGCGAGCUGCGGAGGGAGGACGCUGGAAGCUCUAAAAGAAAUAGAUGAGGAGACGCG